GCUCACCCGUGACCCGCCCACACACGGGCCUCCACAAAACUGCGAUCAGUGAGCUGAGCUGUGAUCAGCGCCCACCCGGCCAUGGCCCUGGCACUGACAGCGUCGAGAGCCACAAAGUCAUCAGCUAAGAGCCCCAAAAUCCCAGCAUUUACUCAGAACUUACUCUGCACUAGCACUGUGUCUCCCACGUACCAACCCAGUUAAUCACCAAGUUCAUCACUCAGCUGAACAGCGCAGCCCGCCUGGGUGGAAGGCAGGGCGCUCACACAACCAGCAGGUGGCAGAGCGCACAUAGUGGCGCCUCCUCUCAGGACCCCUAAGACACCUCAUUGUCCACGCCCACAUGCUGGGCAAAAGCAGCCACCCAAGCAGAGGUGACACCUGGCUUGUGGGACUCUAGAGCAGACUGUUCUGUCCUUUUUUCCAGGAAUUCAGUAUAUAAUGCAAAUGGGCUUACAUUAUUUUUAUAAUCAGAGGAAACUAUAGAAACAAUGUCUCUUUUUAAGCUAUCCCCCCCAACACACAAAC